UUGAUGUCUCCCCAGUGAAGUCGUAAUUGCAGUGAAGGACAUGAUAGAGAUUUUCAAAAACAGUGUGCUGGGGAAGACAGGGGGUAGACAGAAAACAGUACAGGGUCUGAGAACAAGAAGUCCCAGAUUUACAUUUUCCAAAAGCCAUUGACGUAUGUGAAAGAAAACACAGACGAUAAAUUCUCAUUCUCAGUGCCCAUUUCAAGACAUAACUUCAUUAGUCCUAUCAGGCCUGUCGUCCAUUGUGCUCCCAUUUCUACCUCCCCCAACAUAUGAAUGAUACUUUACACGUUUUCAGCAGUUUUACGAAGCAGCGUUUUUUGUGCACCCAAUCUGCAGGUGCAGCAAAGACCUUGGCAAGGGGCAAACUUAUUAUCACUUAUGAAAACAGUUACACUGUAUUGUUCAUACUACUUCAAGGUCUUGAGCAAAGCAUAAAUUCUCAAGAAAACGAAGUUAUUGCAGUUCAAGAAUCAGGCAGCUAACCAGGUAUCUUGGCAGUGGAAGCGUAUAGGUUCUCUUGGCUUUUUUUUUUU